rnacentral:rRNA from 1 species
AAUCCCUACGGGACGCAGCAGUGGGGAAUAUUGGGCAAUGGGCGCAAGCCUGACCCAGCAACGCCGCGUGAAGGAAGAAGGCUUUCGGGUUGUAAACUUCUUUUCUGGGGGACGAACAAAUGACGGUACCCCAGGAAUAAGCCACGGCUAACUACGUGCCAGCAGCCGCGGUAAUACGUAGGUGGCAAGCGUUAUCCGGAUUUAUUGGGUGUAAAGGGCGUGUAGGCGGGAAUGCAAGUCAGAUGUGAAAACUAUGGG